rnacentral:rRNA from 1 species
UACGUAGGUGGCAAGCGUUGUCCGGAUUUACUGGGCGUAAAGGGCGUGCAGGCGGUCUGUUAAGUGCAGGGUGAAAGCUCCCGGCUCAACUGGGAGAGGUCCUUGCAUACUGGCGGACUUGAGGGGGGUAGAGGAAAGUGGAAUUCCCGGUGUAGUGGUGAUAUGCGUAGAUAUCGGGAGGAACACCGGUGGCGAAGGCGGCCCUCUGGACGGAUACUGACGCUGAGGCGCGAAAGCGUGGGGAUCAAACAGG